rnacentral:rRNA from 1 species
UACAGAGGGUGCAAGCGUUGUCCGGAAUCAUUGGGCGUAAAGCGCGCGCAGGUGGCCACAUAAGUCCGUUGUGAAAGUCAAAGGCUCAACCUUUGAAAGCCGAUGGAUACUGUGUGGCUAGAGUACGGAAGAGGCGAGUGGAAUUCCUGGCGUAGCGGUGGAAUGCGCAGAUAUCAGAAGGAACACCAAUAGCGAAGGCAGCUCGCUGGGACGUUACUGACACUGAGGCGCGAAAGCGUGGGGAGCGAACAGG